AUUGAACGCUGGCGGCAGGCCUAACACAUGCAAGUCGAACGAGUGGAGGGCGGGUGAGUACUGUCUGGGACACUGCGCUGGGGGGGGGGAACACUCCUAGAAGCGAUAGCUAAUACCACAUACCAUCAUAUGUUCCCAUGUGGGUGUAGCGAGUGGGUGGGGUAACGGCUCACCUAGGCGACGAUCCCUAGCUGGUCUGAGAGGAUGACCAGCCACAAUGGAACUGAGACACGGUCAAGACUCCUACGGGAGGCAGCAGUGGGGAAUAUUGCACAAUGGGCGCAAGCCUGAUGCAGCCAUGCCGCGUGUAUGAAGAAGGCCUUCGGGUUGUAAAGUACUUUCAGCGAGGAGGCGUUACUCGCAGAAGAAGCACCGGCUAACUCCGUGCCAGCAGCCGCGGUAAUUC
rnacentral:rRNA from 1 species